AUACUUACUUGGCAGGGGAGAUACCAUGAUCACGAAGGUGGUUUUCCCAGGUUUUCCCAGGGCGAGGCUUAUCCAUUGCACUCUGGAUGUGCUGACCCCUGCGAUUUCCCCAAAUGUGGGAAACUCGACUGCAUAAUUUGUGGUAGUGGGGGACUGCGUUCGCACUUUCCCCUG
rnacentral:snRNA from 1 species